rnacentral:rRNA from 1 species
AAUCUUCCACAAUGGGUGCAAACCUGAUGGAGCAAUGCCGCGUGAAUGAAGAAGGUCUUCGGUUCGUAAAGUUCUGUUAUUAGAGAAGAACAAAUCAAGGAGGAACUAUCUAGACUUUGACGGUAACUAACCAGAAAUUCACGGACAACUACGUGCCAGCAGCCCCGGUAAUACGUAGGUGACAGGCGUUGUCCGGAAUUAUUGGGCGUAAAGGGAGCGCAGGCGGUUGGAAUAGUCAGAUGUGAAAGCCCACGGCUUAACCGUGGAAGGUCAUUGGAAACUGUCCAACUUGAAUGCAGAAGAGGUAAGUGGAAUUCCAUGUGUAGCGGUGAAAUGCGUAGAUAUAUGGAGGAACACCAGUGGCGAAGGCGACUUACUGGUCUGUGAUUGACGCUGAGGCUCGAAAGCGUGGGUAGCGAACA